rnacentral:rRNA from 1 species
CCUUUAGAAAUGAAGAUUAAUACCUCAUAGUAUUGAGACUCGGCAUCGAGACUCACUUAAAGAUUUAUCGGUAAAAGAUGGCUAUGCGUCCCAUUAGCUAGUUGGCGAGGUAACGGCUCACCAAGGCAACGAUGGGUAGGGGUCCUGAGAGGGAGAUCCCCCACACUGGUACUGAGACACGGACCAGACUCCUACGGGAGGCAGCAGUGAGGAAUAUUGGACAAUGGGCGAGAGCCUGAUCCAGCCAUGCCGCGUGCAGGAAGACUGCCCUAUGGGUUGUAAACUGCUUUUAUACAGGAAGAAUAAGCCUUACGUGUAAGGUGAUGACGGUACUGUAAGAAUAAGGACCGGCUAACUCCGUGCCAGCAGCCGCGGUAAUACGGAGGGUCCGAGCGUUAUCCGGAAUUAUUGGGUUUAAAGGGUCCGUAGGCGGAUGAUUAAGUCAGGGGUGAAAGUUUGCAGCUCAACUGUAAAAUUGCCUUUGAUACUGGUUAUCUUGAGUUGUGUUGAAGUAGGCGGAAUAUGUAGUGUAGCGGUGAAAUGCAUAGAUAUUACAUAGAACACCAAUUGCGAAGGCAGCUUACUAAGUACUAACUGACGCUGAUGGACGAAAGCGUGGGUAGCGAACAGGAUUAGAUACCCUGGUAGUCCACGCCGUAAACGAUGGAUACUAGCUGUUCGGGGCCUUGAGCUCUGAGCGGCUAAGCGAAAGUGAUAAGUAUCCCACCUGGGGAGUACGUUCGCAAGAAUGAAACUCAAAGGAAUUGACGGGGGCCCGCACAAGCGGUGGAGCAUGUGGUUUAAUUCGAUGAUACGCGAGGAACCUUACCAGGGCUUAAAUGUAGUCUGACAGCUUUAGAGAUAGAGUUUUCUUCGGACAGAUUACAAGGUGCUGCAUG